CCUACGGGGGGCAGCAGUAGGGAAUCUUCCACAAUGGGCGAAAGCCUGAUGGAGCAACGCCGCGUGGGUGAAGAAGGUCUUCGGAUCGUAAAACCCUGUUGUUAGAGAAGAAAGUGCGUGAGAGUAACUGUUCACGUUUCGACGGUAUCUAACCAGAAAGCCACGGCUAACUACGUGCCAGCAGCCGCGGUAAUACGUAGGUUGCGAGCGUUAAUCGGAAUUACUGGGCGUAAAGCGCUCGUAGGCGGUAUGUCAAGUC
rnacentral:rRNA from 1 species